CGAAGGAUUGGCAGCCGAGGUAGAACUACAAUAGCGGCACAUGAACAGUUACGAACCUGGCCAGAUACAGAAAUUCUAUAAGGUAUGAUGGAUAUAGAUUUAUUUAAUAAGAUUGAUGUGUGAAUGUGUGUAAAGGUCCCUGCUUAGUAGGCUGUUUAAGGUCCCUGUGUAUCAGGCUAUGUGUAAAGGUCCCUGCUUAGUAGGCUAUGAUUAAGGUCCCUGCUCGGCAGGCUAUUUUUAAGGUCCCUGCGUCGCAGGCUAUGUUUGAGGUCCCUACUUUGCAGGCUAUGUUUAAAGGUCCCUGCUCGGCAGGCUAUUUUUAAGGUCCCUGCUCUGCAGGCUUAGAUUGUUGUGUUCUGGGUCUGUGAGACAAGCGGGUAAUAGACCUGGUAGUGGUUGAACCGCCUCUGAGCUCCUGGCUAGAAUAUGGUAUCUUUUGAUAGCACUUGAGAGUCAUGGGUGUAACAGACCUGUUGAUGGUUGAGCCGCCUCUGAGCUUCUGGUGGUUGUUAACUGUGCCACAUAACAGUCUAUUUUGUUAAAUGAAAUAAGGUUUAGACUUAGUUCUUCGAAUAUAUUUUGAGCUUGUACUGCUGUUAUAAUGUUUACAGAUUACCGGUGUCAGGUGAAUCUUUGCAAAACUGUGGAAGGUGCGAGGACGCCCCACAUGUCAGGAAGGCCGUGUUAGCUUACGUCAUCACCUUCACCGAUGGACCGAUGCGACGUGCUCACAUCUAUUUAGACUAGUUUUGUUUCAUAAGCAAAUCUGAAGUAUUUGUUUACAUUUAAUAAUCGGGGCAGUUCUUAAGAAAGAACCAGACAGUCAAGCUUUAGAUGUCGAGGGUUAAACUACGUUUGUCGUAAUAAAGCGUAUUAUUGUGAA